GCCUCCUCCAUGCAAAUAGCACGCAACAGAUUUUUGUAUAUAGAAAAAAAACAUAUCUUUCCUCCCACCACCUAUCUCCGCUGAUUCAUCUCUCCCAUCGGCUUGGAUCCCCUAACCUUUCUCCUCUGACCCCCCCUUGGAGACACUCUCCAUGCCUCUCCAUGCGCCCCCGCAUCCAUGGGUUGCCGUCACCAGCGUAGAUCCGCUCCUCAUCUGGUGUGAUUGAUCGGCGUCUCCGCACACGCCACAGCUGAAUUGGACGCCGACGGUUCUGCUCCGCCUCGGCUACAUCGACUUCGACGCCGACGGUUCGGGGUGCUGUUCAAACAAGUAGGUAGCUUGCAUGAAUUCUUCUUGCGGGAAUUGUGCAGAAUCCAGGACAAUUUGGUCUCCCCAUAACCACUUUGGUGUCCUGUUAUGGAACAAGUUAUACACCACUCUGGUACAUCUAAUGUUCACUUGUGUUUUUAUGUGUAUUGAUAGUGUUAUCAAAUUCUCAUGUAACUCCCAGCUGGCUUAGUAACUAGAAAACCCCGACAAGAUCCUUUGUAUGAUAUCUCUAAUUUGGAUCCAAGCUCAAGCAGGAAUACAGAUAUGUAGAGAUGGUGAUCGUUUAUUACAUCUUCAAAUUCUGGAAAAUAUAUAAGCACAAUCCAACUCCCCGUUGGCUGAGAGAAAAUCUAUUUGUUACACUCAUCACCUAGAUAAUUGAAUGGUGCAUGGCUAAGUUGUUGUGGAGAAUGGGGGCUAAUUUGUUGAUUGCAAGGUGGGGAAUGGGGGCCAAGUUGUUGAUUGCAAGGUGGAGAAUGGGG